UACAGAGGUCCCGAGCGUUGUUCGGAUUCACUGGGCGUAAAGGGUGCGUAGGUGGCGAGGUAAGUCGGAUGUGAAAGCUCGGAGCUCAACUCCGAAAUGGCAUUGGAAACUACCUUGCUCGAGGGUUGGAGGGGGGACUGGAAUACUUGGUGUAGCAGUGAAAUGCGUAGAUAUCAAGUGGAACACCAGUGGCGAAGGCGAGUCCCUGGACAACUCCUGACACUCAGGCACGAAAGCUAGGGGAGCAAACAGG
rnacentral:rRNA from 1 species